rnacentral:lncRNA from 1 species
GUUGUGCAUGCCUUCUAAGACCUUUUAUACUAGCGUACACAUAUGUUUUGACCUCAGAUUUAAUUGUUUUACAGCUGAAAAUAGCAUACCUGGCUCAAAGUUUUGGGGUUUUUUUGGGGUUUUUUUGUUUUUUUGGGUUUUUUUCCCCUUUACUAUUGAAGUAUUGAAAGUAGUAUUCUAUUGUCUUCUGGCAUCUGUUGUUUGAUAUGAAUAAUGCUUAAUGUUUGCUAAUUUUUAGGUGAUCUGAUUUUACUUUUUGUUAGCUAUUAUAAUUUAAAUUUUGAUUAGAUAUUUCAAUUUUUAACCAUAGUAUAACCUAUGUAUGGAUUUUUUUUAAUCCCUGCUAUUUGAUUGUCCUUGAAAAAUUUCUAUGUUUGUUCUUUUUUUAAUUCCAGAAAAUUAUUAUAUCUUAAAUCUGUACUUCCUCACCUCUAUUUUUUUCACUAUUUGAGACUCAUGAGAGACAGUUUCGUCCACUGGUACUUCUCUUAUCCAGAUAUUUUAGGGUUCUCCAUUAGAACAUUUUCUCCCUCAGGAAUGUUUGGAAAUGUCUGAAGAUUUUUGGUUGUUACAACUUGAGGAGUUUGGCAUCUAGUGAGGAGAGGCCAGGAAUGUUGGUAAAUAUCCUAUAAUUCACAAGAAGCCCCCUCACAACAAAAACAUUAUCCAGUCCAAAUGUAAGUAGUACCAAAGUUGAAAAUUUUCUGUAUAUCGUAACUCUUCACUCAUCAUUUACAUCUUUUGACCUCAUUCUGUGAGAGGUCUAAAUCUGAUCUUCCAACGUAACAGUUUGGUUGUAUACUGAAUACAUUCUACUGGCUACCCAUCUAUUGAAAUCUGCAUUUCAUAAAUUACAUGUUUCAUGCCAGUUUUGUUGUUUAGCUCCUUGAUGGCAUCUAUUUAUUUAUUUCAUUCUAUCCUCUUAAUUUUGGCUCCCCCAUAUACAUUUUUUUUUUCUUUUUUUAAAACCAAUGUUCUCCUACUCCUCAGAUGCUUCAUAUUUCUUCUCCAUGAUGCCAUCUUUUAUUCCCUUAAGAAUACCAGAUGUCUGGUUAUGUGAGUGAGGAAGAUGUGAGAGGGAUAAAAGCCAGGGUCUUAGAUUCCAUUCCUCUGUGUGUGUGUGGUGUUGGGGGGCGGUGACUCUAGCCUUCUUUGCCUGACCUAGUCCUUCCUCGUGUCUCGCCCCCAUUCUAAGGCACAUGGCUCUUACACAUUGGAAGCUCACACUAUCUUCAUCCUCAGUACUAAUCUGAUGACAGUGAAGUAUAGAAUUGACUAUAAUUACUCACUAAAGAAGUCAAGGAACAAAAUAGGAGAAGUACAAGGAGGGAAUCCUUAGGGCUGGACAGCCAGCCCCAUGAUGACCACAGCAUAGAAAAUGAUCCAUUGGAGUGGAAAGAAAAAGAUUACUAGAAACAAGAAUGCUCUCCUCCAGUUUAGCUAAUACUAUCUACCUAGCUUACUGCUUUCCCAUUUUUAUUUUCAGUAUUGCUAUAUCUGGUACCUUAGAUGUAGGAGAAAGAAUAAUUUUCUUAAGCAUAGAAGAAAUUGGAUAGUAGAUAACACUUUCAAAAUGUUCAACAAAUAGAUCUGCUAGCUUAAAAUUUACAGUUGAACCAACAUUUAAAUUUGACUCUCUGUACAACAGGGAGAGCUGAGAGAAAAAAAGAAUCAUGAUCAGCAAAAUCACAGCACAAUCUUAAAAAAUACUACCAGUGAAUUAUAAAGUCCUGUUAAUUCUGACCUUUAAGAUAUAUCUCCAAUCUAUUCACAUACUUCCAUUUCCAUUAACAUUAGGCUCAUUUAGGCCAGUAUUAUAUUUUACCUGGAAUACAAGUUGGCCUCCUAACUCAUUUUUUUCUGGCCUUUGCUUUAAUUUUCCACACAGUCACCAGGGAGAUCUUUCAUCUUUGCGGGUUUCAUCCUAUCACUUUCUUUUGUAUAAAAUUUUAAUAGCUUUUCUUUGUCCUAAAGUUGAAACUCAUAAUUCCAGCAUGCAAUUCUUCUUGUGAUAGCCUUUUGGUUUUCUGCCUCUUUUACUUCUCUUUGCCAUCUUUAUUUUCCACUUUGGAUUUACAAGUUUUCUUUAUUUUUUCCUCUCUCUCUUUCUUCUCUAGAUUUUCUUUUUUAUCUCCUUUUCCUUAAACAUUUUGCCCAUCACUUGCCUUUCCUGGCCAUUUCUUACUCAUUCCUCAGGUCUUGAAGCAUGGAAAACACUCCAUGAUGAUAACCUAUAUAAUAUUCCUCACUACAUCGCUAUGUGAAACAGCUUUCUCUGUUCAUUUAUUUUUCUCUGUCCUCUCUUAAAAUAUAAAAUUUGUGAAGGCAGGGACUCAAUCUUAUUACAUCUUAAACUGCUACCAGGUGGCUGCAAUCCGGCUAGGUUAUGUGAAUGUCUUGAAAGGUGAUAUUUUCCCCAUUACCUCUCUUGAGUUCUUUUGGCUGGACUAAUAAAAAAACUGACACAGGACAGAUUAACAGGAGAAAAAAGAAACAGACUUUAAUUUGUGCACACUGAGUUCUCAUAACAAUGAGAAGCAACUAAGUGGCCAAAGCAGGCAUCGUUUAUGCUUUUAAACAAAGAAAUAAUCAACUUGUGAGGAAUUGACUGGACAAAGAAACUUAAGUUUUGGAUGCUCGAUUAGCGAGGACUCUAAACAGAGUUUCAGCCUGGGGUAGUAAAUUAAAGAAGUAACAAAUUUUGUUUAUAUGGGCUUCUCCACCUGAAUUUCUGAUUUCUGGCAAUAGGGGUGUCCUUCUACUGUCAGAUGGAGGGAGUUCACGUGGGAGAUUUAUUUCUUGUUUUCAGGGAAACAUAAAGGAGGGUCAGUGUGUUCUUCAGGCAUUGCCCAUUUCUCAAAAAACUGUAUUUCAAAUAAUCGGUAUGCCAUUGUGUCAUGUUUAGGGGUGGCUUUCCUUGAGCCCCAUGAAUAAGUGAAAAAAUGAAAACAACAACAAAACUUCAUGAGUGCUAUCAUCCAGUAACUGUGCUUGCCUGCUUAUUUUUCUUUGUAAAAAUAUGCUUUAGUGAAUAAAUAAGAAAAAAUAGGUCCCAAGCAAUUUUUGAUAAAAACUAUGCAUAAGUAUUUAUUUCAUGUCAAUAGUGCAUUAUAUGAGCUUUUCUGUUCACAGUUCAUUUCUUCUUUUGAUUAUAGCACUUGUAUGGUAUACUUAACGAGAGUAACCACCUUGUCUUUUACAGGAAUGAUGGCAUGGCUCAUGAAUGGUUGGGAUCUCUGGAGGAUACUUCUAAAGUAGUUCACUUCAUAAGCCCUUGUCACCACACAGAGAUAAUUAUUUCUAUGAUUUACUUGCUUCCAAGGAAGCUUUGUAAAAGAUAACCUUUUCCAGUCACGUUUAUUAUGUAAUUCAUAGUAUCUUGAGAUUUAGAAUCUAUUUUUAUUUUCAUGGGUCCUCUUGGUUUAUUUACAGGUCUGUUAAUUGAUUUGCUUUUUUUAUGUAUGGGUCAAAGUGUUCCCUUUUUUUCUUCCCUUGGUUCUGAUUUUUGGGAAAUCUGAGCAGUUUGGCUUGGGUUUUUGAAAGGUAAAUGUUCUAAGAUUUUUUUGGUUUUUAAAAUACCUAGGCUAUUAUAGUCUUAAAAUAUAGUUUAUACAUCUACCAAGU